UACGUAGGCAGCGAGCGUUGUUCGGAGUUACUGGGCGUAAAGAGUGCGUAGGCGGUUUUCUAAGUUUGGUGUGAAAUCUCCCGGCUCAACUGGGAGGGUGCGCCGAAGACUGGAAGGCUUGAGUAUGGGAGAGGUAAGCGGAAUUCCUGGUGUAGCGGUGAAAUGCGUAGAUAUCAGGAGGAACACCUGCGGUGUAGACGGCUUACUGGACCAUAACUGACGCUGAGAAGCGAAAGCAUGGGGAGCGAACAGG
rnacentral:rRNA from 1 species